rnacentral:ncRNA from 2 species
AGGCAGUGUAUUGUUAGCUGGU